rnacentral:rRNA from 1 species
GUGGCAUCUUCGGGUGUGUUAUAGCUCUGGGUCGCAUACAUCGGCUGGGAUUGAGGAACUCAGCACGCCGCAAGGCCGGGGACUUGUCCCACGUACGUGCUUAGGAUGCUGGCAUAAUGGCUUUAAUCGA